rnacentral:rRNA from 1 species
CCCUUAGAUGUUCUGGGCCGCACGCGCGCUACACUGAUGCAUUCAACAAGCCUAGCCUUGACCGAGAGGCCCGGGCAAUCUUUGAACGCUGGUCGUGAUGGGGAUAGACUUUUGCAAUUUUUGGUCUUCAACGAGGAAUUCCUAGUAAACGCAAGUCAUCAACUUGCAUUGAUUACGUCCCUGCCCUUUGUACACACCGCCCGUCGCACCUACCGAUUGAAUGGUCCGGUGAAGCCUCCGGAUUGGCGCGCACCUCGGUGCCGCCGAGAAGUUGGCUAAACCUUACCAUUUAGAGGAAGGUGAAGUCGUAACA